UGCCGGCAACAUAUUUUAGGCUUUGGAGAUUCAAAAAUAAGAAGGGGAAGAGAACAUAUAUUUGUUGAAGGUUUCUAAUGUGCCAGACACUGGAUUGAGUUCUUUGCAUAACUUAAUCCAUUUAACUUUCACCAUAAUUGCAUGAGAUCUUAUGGUCCCAGUUUACAAAUAAGGACACUGAGACUCACAGAAGAUUAGGAACUGGGUCAAGGUCAUACAUCCCUGGGAAUUUCAAGCCAGAUCUGACUCCAAAGCAUUUAUCAUUAUUCAAAUAGAUUUAAAGUUUUUUGGUGACAGUACAGGAGCCUGCAGUCUGGGAGGAGGAGCUGAGCACCCACAUACCCAAAGUCUUCUGGCCCAGGCAGUCCCUGACCGGCGGCAUCAGAAUGGCAUGACAGAAGGCCGUGGAGACGCAGAGAUGCAGCUCCUGGCCACCACAGCCAGGGAGCGAGAUCUGAUGUGGACUCGAGGUGGAACACCCACUGCUUCCGUGACCGGCAUUUUUCUACCUACAGACCUCAAGGAGAGCAACCAGCAACCAGGAGACCAACCAGUGUCCAUCGAGGACAGGCAAGAACUGGUCUGGGAAGAGAGUUAAGCCCGCCUAAGGUUGCUGUUUCUUGCUGGGAGGUCCAGGCUUGCCCACAACCACCACGGAGAACAGGAGGGUUCACACGCCACCUCUCUGAGCAGUUCCCAGAGCAUCUAGAUACAGACGUCCAGUUUGCAGACUGCAUGCAGAAGCUGACCAAGAGACUAAGGGGGUGCUGCAACUCAGCUCCUGCUCUGUUCGCAAGUCGUGUGUCUUGGCGUGGGCUGCUUCUGCAGAAGGAUGUGCCGUCUUUCUCUUUGUACAGAGGUGCCGCCUGAGAGUCUCUGGUGCAUCUACUCAAUUGGUCUGCCUGCCGGGGGUGCUGUUUUCCAUUCAUACAAUGACCCCAUGCGGGCUGGAGAGGACCCUGGCUGUGCACCCUAACGAGUCAGAGGACAGACUCCUUUGCUGCUCAGCGACUUGACCCUUACUUCCAGCUCCCAGGUUUCCUCCACAGAGUUCAUGGCUGCCCUCUAUGGCAGGCUCACAGUGCUCCCUCCAUCCGGCCCAUAUUCUCCCAUGACUCUGUGCUGUUCAUUCCCCUUCCCUCCCUCUGUCUGAUCCAAGGCAAGGUCAUCCAGAGCCAACUCCCAACAUUCCAGAUUGAACCCAAUUUGUUUUCCCUUUGGCCUCUGUUCCUGGGUUCCCUUCCUGGUCGCCUCCUAAGACCCCUGCCUCUCUGCCUAUACUCGCUUGUUGCCCAGCCCACAGACUGGAGAAUUCUCCUAAAUUCCAGAGCUCAGUUGCAGAU
rnacentral:lncRNA from 1 species